AUUGAACGCUGGCGGCAGGCCUAACACAUGCAAGUCGAACGAGUGGCGGACGGGUGAGUAAUGUCUGGGAAACUGCCUGAUGGAGGGGGAUAACUACUGGAAACGGUAGCUAAUACCGCAUACCAUCAGAUGUGCCCAUAUGGGAUUAGCUUGUUGGUGGGGUAACGGCUAACCAAGGCAACGAUCCCUAGCUGGUCUGAGAGGAUGACCAGCCACACUGGAACUGAGAAACGGUCCAGACUCCUACGGGCGGCAGCAGUGGGGAAUAUUGCACAAUGGGCGAAAGCCUGAUCCAGCCAUGCCGCGUGUAUGAUGAAGGCCUUCGGGUUGUAAAGUACUUUCAGCAGGGAGGCGUUACCUGCAGAAGAAGCACCGGCUAACUCCGUGCCAGCCGCCGCGGUAAUAC
rnacentral:rRNA from 1 species